UCAAACUUGGUCAUUUAGAGGAAGUAAAAGUCGUAACAAGGUAACCGUAGGUGAACCUGCGGUUGGAUCAUUAACAAAUAAUAGAAGCGCCUUCCAGGCGACUCUUGACAUUUUGUGAACCGUUAUUGUCUCUGGGGGGAGCCAUUGGCUCCCCCAACUUUGAACCUUGUAGUAUCAUUUGUCUUAUUAAAAAGUUUAAUUAAAAACAACUUUUGGCAACGGAUCUCUAGGCUCUCGCAUCGAUGAAGAACGCAGC
rnacentral:misc_RNA from 1 species